CAUAUGCCACAGAAAAAGCUUUCAAAACUCCCUCUUCUGUCCGCAAAGUAUUUUCCCUUUAGCUUAAAAACCCGUAAUUCCUGCCAAGACACAGGAUCAAAUAUAAACACACAUCCUACUUUAAAUAAUUUUUCACAAAAAAAUUGCCAGAGGGAAUAAAAAUAGACAAAACUUUACAAGUCAUCCUACCUCUAGAAAUUGCAUAUUACUAACAGAAUGAGAACAGUUAAAAGGCCAUGCAUGAUACAUUCCACUCUUCUCCCCCCAUUCAAAAAAGGGCAUGUUACUUUGAGUUAAUGAAAAGUAAUUAUUUUGUAUAGUGAAUGUUCAGUGAGAAAGAUGACACAUUAAACUAGCUGAUGCCAGUAUAUUUAAGACCGCAGACUUCUGCCACACAUCUCCAGUGUGUCUGAUUUGGAAACUGAAUAAGUCAGCAUAGCUGACAAAUGCCCAUUAAGUCACUGAUCAAUUAUGCCAAGAUCAAUAAGAAAGGUUACUUUAGUUAUUGGUUAACAGUUUGCUAUUAUAUUGUCUUUCUGGAGGCCCUCACCUCUGCACCUUUUCCUAUUCCUUCCUGGUAGGCAUUUCUGUGAUUUACUCCCUCAUUUACCAUUGGACAGUCAUAGAAGGAGUUUUCCUCUAACUGGGUGAGAUUCCUUUCUCCUGCAAAAACCAUCACAGCAACAAAUGUGCAGGAAGUCAGACUAGAUGAUCAUGAUGGUCCUUUCUAACCUCAAAGUCUAUGAUGCAUUUGUUAGAAAAGGUCUCCUUUAAAAGUGCCCACAUACAGGCAAAGACCAUUGUUUAUUUUUUUUUAUCUGCCAUCAAAUACAUUAAUUUUUUAGAUUUGUGGGACUCUAUACUUCCAUGGCACCAAGGCUUUCCACUUCCAAGCACAAUUGAUCUACCUGCUGCUGGGCUCAAGGGCAUUCUAUCACUCAUGUUCACAGAAAAGACUGCAGAAGAAAACAAGUUUCCUGUCAGACAGGGGAUACUUAUUCACCUGUAUCUCUGUUGGAUAUGAGGAGGAGACAAGGAAGACACGCCCUUAUCCAGCACUUACAAAGUAGAUGGGCAGCAUGUUGACAUUCAUGAAAAUAAGAUCUGAACCAGCCUUGGUUGCAAAUAUUGCAGAAGAUAUUUGGGUCCGGUGGGGUUUCCAGGAAUACCCCACAGAAGUACUUUUUCUUAAGCUUACCUGUUGCAAAGAUGAAGGCCUAAAUUCUUCUCUGAGUUACACCAGUACAGACCCAGAGCAACUCCUGUGAUAUCAGUGGUGCUACAACUUCAGAUUUUCAAUGGAAUAACAGAAGAGAAUUUGGAUCAUAAACUAUUCCUGCUAAAGCAAUCUUCUAGUGGGUGACAUCUGGACCUGACAGACAGCCUAAGUUAUCUAAUGCAGAAUUUUCUUUUUUCCAGCAUUUUACUCUAAAGCUUAAGAACUAUAUAUUCAGGUGUCAUUCCACAAAUGUACUUUUUUCCUUUCAAACUCACACAAUUACUAUUCCACCUUGCAAACACACCUAUGCUUAACUUUAAGCAUGUGAGUAGUUCUGCUGUCUUAAAGUUAAGCACGUGUGUAAACAUUUGCAGGAUCAGGGCCUUAGACAUUUCUCAAAAGAUUAUGGUUCAAUUAACUUCAAUGGGAGUAUGUUCAUAUGAGUAAGGAUUGGUUGCAGGAUGAGGCCUCAGGUUACAAUAUUUUUAAAAGUUGGACAUGAACAUCUGAUAGCAGAAAGUGGCUCAGAAUCAAUAAAAUAUUUAAAUUUGUUUUACAAUUAUUCGUUUAAGGAUAUUAUGGUCUUGGUAUCAUGCUUUAUAUAACACCCCAACACAUUUUUUGAUUUUGAUGUCAUGCAAGAAAGUAUUGAUAAAAUGAAACAUUAAAUGACAAAUAGUUUGUUCCCACAACCAACUUUUUGGACAGCAUCUGGGCAACUUGGCCUAUAUGGGGGGGAGGGGACCCCAAGAGAUUUGGGAAGCAAACCAAGCAUUACAUUUUUCUAAGAUUCCUUAAGUAUAUUAACCACAGUGCAACUUUAUUCAAAACUUACAAGGGCCUGCAGCUAUACCACUUUGGGAUUUACUCUUAUCAGACUGAAUGAGCCAGCUCCCCAGCACAGUGUUUAAGGAGGCCCUGUGCUGCUUGCAGUGCUGGUUUUUUGGGACGGGAUAUAAAACAGAAGCCCUCACCACUUUUUGCAAGCAAAGGGAUGUUUGCCCAAGUGUUCUAAGUUCCCAUACACACUACAAAAACAACCAUGUUUGUGACCCAAACAUUUAACAACCAGAUUAAGAAAGCCACAUGUUUUUAGCCCUUUCUUGGAGUCUCAUGGAGGCUUACCACCACCUCAGAAAUGUAGCCCCUUACAGAUAUAUUGGCAACAGUAUAUUUUUUUGACACAGAAAAUUCAAUUAGUAGUUUAAAAUAAUUUGCUAGGUGACAAUAGUAAUGAUGGUGCACUGCGUACUCAUUAAAAGUAUCAUUAAUUAAGUAAAACCAGAUUGAAUCAUUACCAUACCAAAAAACCCAAACUCCGGCUAGGAGCAAAAUUUAAAACAUAAUAUAGUAAGGACUUUAUUAUACAAUUGCCAAUGUUCCUACUAAUGUUCAAAUAUAAUACUCUUCUCAAAAGAGCUUGUAUUAUUUUGUUUAACUGAUGUUAAGGAAAUGUAUGUUCACUUGACAACCUGAAUGAAAACUCAAAACAAAAAUACAGAUAAUAUAUAUUUUUAAAUUGAUGACAUAUGCUUCAGAAAAUACAGCUGGGUAUAAAUACAUUAAUAGUACAAAAUAAACCCCAUAUUUUAAAGAUGAGUGCACCAUUCUGUAAAUGACUCUAGAUUAGCAAAGAUUAACUUUAAGUCCCACCUGCCCUCUAGACUCCUUUCCAUUAUUCUCUGUUUGCCUGCUGCCACUUUAGACCCCACAAACACAAAGACAACCGUUCACAGCUCAGUGGUUUUGGGUCUGUGCCAAAUAGUGUGUCAACCAAAAAUACUAGCUGUUUCACUCUGUUUUGAAGCAUAUAGCUUGCAAUUACUUUUCUAGCUGGCAGGAGUUGCAAGUCCAGCACUAAUUUUACACUGUAAAUAACUCCCUUACUGGAUUACUUCAACUUUCUAAUACAACUCUUUUUUUGUUCUGCAAACUAACAGUAAAUAAUUCAUAAUAUCAGAAGUUAGGUUAUUAAGCUAGCUUUUAACUAUUUCAUUAGAAACUGUGAUAAUCAGGGUCUAGACACCCCAAGGGAGGACAGAAGGUUUAAUCCCCCCAGAAAUAAGCAGUUAAAGCAACUGAUCGUAUACUGUGUUAUUUAACUCUAAGAAUAUAUUAAGUAAAAUCUUUUAUGAAUGUCUGUAAAUGCAAUGAACUUACUAGUCAUUAUGAGAUAUGUAUACAGGUUAUGGUUGUGAAGGUGUGUGCGCAUAUAUAGAAAAUUGUAACUGUAAAGCCUGAGGUUAUGUUUACUUUCUUUGUAAUUUAUAUAUGUUUGCUCUCCCCCUACUAUUUCAUCUUUGAAUCUGUGGUUUUUCUAUUAAAUAAACUUUUUAU